GGCGUGCGGGCGCCCGGGGCUGUGCGGCUGGGCCCGCGGCCUCUGGCGCCGGGCGCCUGCGUCCGAGCCUCGGCUCUUCCGCUGCGUGGCCGUGGUAAGGUGCCCAUCCCCAGUUUCUCCAUCUGCAAAGUGAAGCGGCUGACUUCGUGUGAGCGGCGGCGCGGCCCUGAUGAGAGAAGCGCAGAGACCCGAGAAAGCGGGCCCUCAGGAUUUUGGUCAAUACACUGCUGAGUGUACAAUGAACUCGUGUAUCCUGCAGAAUUUGCAUUGUCAGGAGGAAGGCCUUGCUCAGAGAGAGGAAGAUCAUCCUUCAUUCAAGAGUUUAUGAGUAGCAGUCACUGCUUGAAUUGCCCACAUAACCUCAGCUAACUCAGAUGGUGCUACACUAUCAGCCUGCAAGGACCAGCACUUUGUCAGGGGCUCCAUCCACACACUGAGGCAGCGCUUGAAGAUGCACUCCUCCAGGGAAGCCUUUCCUGAUCACCAAGAGGAAAGAAGACUGGCUCAUCCCCACCCUGCCCAAACACAGUGCUUCCACAUCUCUCUCUGCUCACCUUGUCCAAGAAGGCUGGACAAGCCUCCAAGACACUGGUGCUUGACCUCAAGGGACUCUUUCCUGACGUGGCCCAGCAGCUGGUGCAGCCAGGUGUGUGUAUGUGUCUGUGUCUGCACCUGGUGGCUGAUCCAAACUCCUAGAAGGAAGUUGAGGUAGAAGCCACAGGUCUUAUCCCUGUUGGGUGAUGAGGAAGAUGAUAAUGACUCUUCUGUCUGCAUGUCCUGAUUUGCCAUGGGUAAGACUUCUGUUGGCCAUUUUAAAACCGCCCAAACAGUCUUUAAACAACUUAAGAAGUGAUCAAAGGUGUUUGGACUUAACCUGGACCAGCAACGUUCUCAAUGGAGUCAGCUCUGUGACUUUGGUUGGGAGGAAGCAAGUGUGAACCAGUAAUGCAGAUGUAGCUCGAAAGCACUGAGAUGUUUCCUAAGUUGAUCUAUCCCAAGUAUACAUCCAGCUUAUUCCUGAAUUGGAAUCAAAUUAGAAAAACCUCUGAAGGAAAAAGUGGGUGAGCAGACGUUUGAGGGCUUACCAAGUACCUGACACAUCUCAGAGCACUUGUGAAAUGCUGUGGAUUUAUGAAAGCAAUAAACAGGUCUGUGUGAUUGAUUGUUCCCGUCGCACUUCCUGGUCACAUGUCACACCCACAUGAAGCAUAACAAGGAAGACUCAGAGAGGGUAAGACGGAGGUCUUGUGCCUUCAAGACAGGCGCAUGCGUCUUAGCUCCCAUGGCAUUUGGGGCUGAUUACCCUGGCCUGUGUGUAAUGAGACACGACGGAGUUAAGGAUCAAGAUAAAUCAGGUAUUGUCAUCGACCUUUGGUGUUUUUGAGACUGAGAAAGAAAGAUUUGGCGUGCCCGCCUUCCUCAUCAGUCUGGUAUCUCACCUGUCAUCUUAAACACGGUAAACAAACCACAGACAUAUUUUUCUUCCUUGCAGAACUGCACCCUUUUUUGUGAGUAGGUCUGGAUACUGUUUGGCAAUUGCAGUUGAGUAGAAUGGGGGUGGGGAAGCGUUCGAUUCCACCCUCUUCUCAAAUACCUGAAGUAGAGUAAUGAGUAGGUGUCACAUUUGUCGCCUCUUCUCCACUCCUACUAUCUGCAUGCAGACCUUAAUCAUGUUUUCCUUAGGCCACCAUAGCUGACAUUUCCUUCCAAUUGAUCUCAUGAAGGCUGGAGGUGCUGGGACACCCAGAGGGAGCAAGAUGCUCUUCAUUCUGCCAUCGCCAGGAGGAGAUCACUAGGAAAUACCCAUUUCUUGGUGGUACAUUAUCAACCAACAAUCUGUUUAUUGAAGGAAUUCGCUCGUGCAUUCACUCAGCGAAUAUUGAGAGCCUGUUAUGCACCAGGUGGUGUUCUAGGUACUGAAGAUACAGUAGUGAACAAAAACACUCAACACAGAACAACAUGGAUGAAUCUCCAAGCAGUUCUGCGAUGAAAAGUCAACCCCCGAAAGCUAAUACUGGUGAUUCCAUUUAUAGAAAAAUUUUGAAAUGGCAACAUUUUAGAAAUGGUGGUUGCCAGGACUUAGGGAUGGGGUGAGGGGUGGUUCAUGGUGGGAGAAAGUUGGUAUAGUGGUAAAAAAGCACCAUACGGAAUCCUUGUAUUGACAUGCUAUUCAGUAUCUUGACCAUGAGGGUGGUUACAAGAACUUACACAUGAUAAAAUCACAUAGAGCUAAACACACACACCAAUGAGUGCAAGUAAAACUGGGGAGAUGUGAAAAAGAUCUGUGGGUUGAAUCAAUAUCAGUAUCUUCUUGGUUGCAAUACUGUACUAUAAUGCUACUAUUGGGAAAACCGGGUAAAGUCCAUGCAGGAUCUCUUUUGUAUUAUUUCUUAGAACUGUACAUGGAUCUAUAAUUAUUCCAAUAAAAAUGUACAAAAAAAAAAAAACACCCCCGAAACAAAACCCAGCUCCCAGACCUGAUGGAGCCUACAUUUGAGUGGGAGCUAAGUGUUGCUUCGUGGUGGCCACAGGGUAAAAGCCAAGACCACACUCAGAGGUCUACCCCUUCUGGGGUAUUCCAUGUUCUCAAGACAUGUCAUUGGAUCCCUACUGGUGACCGAAGGAAAUCCAGACUUAGGGUAGGAGGCAGAUGCAGAAUAAGGGUGGACUCCCAGCUCCCCUGACCCUGUGACAUGGGCAUGUUGGAAUUAUCCAGUCUGCCUUUGGGUCUCUAAACCAGGCACCCAUUAGACUAAAGGUGGGACUCAACUAUCCAUGGAGCUCCCAGUGCUCAUGUGAGACCCUUCGUGGCUUAUUCCCCACUUCCGCCAUCCCCACCACCAACCUGCUUUCACCUCUGUGCAAACACUUGGUCCAUCCUGGCAGCACAUUCAGCUUGCGGAACCUACUUUCCCCAUACAGGUACUAGCAUGGCUCACUGCCCUAGUUCUCACCAUUAGGCAAGAACUCCUCAUGCCAGCCCUGGGCCUUGAUCCUAGAUUCUAGCCCCCUAGCCAUGACUAGGAGUGAGUGUCCAGC